rnacentral:ncRNA from 2 species
UUCUCAAGCUAGGGGUGCCUGCCUUGUCUGAAUCAAGACAUGAAUCAAGACAGAGCGGGCUGAGAUUACACCCUUGGAACCUGAGACUGGGUUAUGCCAGCGGAGGGAAGCGAGGUUUGCAUCGA